GUAUACCUACGGGACGCAGCAGUGGGGAAUAUUGCACAAUGGGGGAAGCCCUGAUGCAGCAACGCCGCGUGAGUGAAGAAGUAUUUCGGUAUGUAAAGCUCUAUCAGCAGGGAAGAAGAAAGACGGUACCCGACUAAGAAGCCCCGGCUAACUACGUGCCAGCAGCCGCGGUAAUACGUAGGGGGCAAGCGUUAUCCGGAUUUACUGGGUGUAAAGGGAGCGUAGACGGAGGAGCAAGUCUGAUGUGAAAAUCCGGGGCCCAACCCCGGAACUGCAUUGGAAACUGUUUAUCUGGAGUGUCGGAG
rnacentral:rRNA from 1 species